CCUCACCCUCUUGGAUGAGGACUACCCACUCAAAGAGCUCAUCUUGUUCUUCAUUGCCAUUUUGAUGAACAAUAGCGAUGGCUUCAUUGUUUUUAGACAAGGAAAAAAGAAUUUGCCUCUGAUGGUUGCAAUGGCAAAAGAGCAACUUAUGAUGAGAUGGCAAGAAAUCUUAUCGGAUGGAUGGUCUAUUUAUAUGGACCACUGAUGGUACAGAGUUGGCUAUUGAAUCAUCAGAUUCUAUCACUUGGCCAA
rnacentral:lncRNA from 1 species